rnacentral:rRNA from 1 species
UGAGGAAUAUUGGGCAAUGCCCGAAAGGGUGACCCAGCAACGCCGCGUGGAGGAUGAAGGUCGUAAGAUUGUAAACUCCUGUUAGAGGGGAAGAAUAACUAAGUUUGGAGCUUAGUAUGACUGUACCUUCAGAGAAAGCACCGGCUAACUACGUGCCAGCAGCCGCGGUAAUACGUAGGGUGCGAGCGUUAAUCGGAAUUACUGGGCGUAAAGCGUGCGCAGGCGGUUUUGUAAGACAGAUGUGAAAUCCCCGGGCUUAACCUGGGAACUGCGUUUGUGACUGCAAGGCUGGAGUACGGCAGAGGGGGGUGGAAUUCCACGUGUAGCAGUGAAAUGCGUAGAGAUGUGGAGGAACACCGAUGGCGAAGGCAGCCCCCUGGGCCUGUACUGACGCUCAUGCACGAAAGCGUGGGGAGCAAACA